rnacentral:rRNA from 1 species
GACGAACGCUGGCGGCGUGCUUAACACAUGCAAGUCGAACGAGUGGCGAACGGGUGAGUAAUACGUGAGUAACCUGCCCUCUUUUUGGGAUAAGCCUUGGAAACGGGGUCUAAUACCGGAUAAAGGGGGGUGGGCUCGCGGCCUAUCAGCUUGUUGGUGGGGUGAUGGCCUACCAAGGCGGGGACGGGUGGCCGGGCUGAGAGGGGGACCGGGCACAUAGGGACUGAGAUAAGGCCCAGAGUCCUACGGGGGGGGGCAGUGGGGGAUAUUGGACAAAGGGCGAAAGACUCAUGCGGCGACGCCGCGUGAGGGAUGAGGGCUUUCGAGUUUUAAAACUCUUUCGCUAGCGAGCUGGUAGGUGGAGAAGAAGCGCCGGCUAACUACGUGCCAGCAGCCGCGGUAAUAC